rnacentral:rRNA from 1 species
GUGGGGAAUAUUGGACAAUGGGCGAAAGCCUGAUCCAGCCAUGCCGCGUGUGUGAAGAAGGUCUUCGGAUUGUAAAGCACUUUAAGUUGGGAGGAAGGGCAGUAAGUUAAUACCUUGCUGUUUUGACGUUACCGACAGAAUAAGCACCGGCUAACUUCGUGCCAGCAGCCGCGGUAAUACGAAGGGUGCAAGCGUUAAUCGGAAUUACUGGGCGUAAAGCGCGCGUAGGUGGUUUUGUAAGUUGGAGGUGAAAUCACCGGGCUCAACCUGGGAACUGCCUCCAAAACUGCAUGACUAGAGUACGGUAGAGGGUAGUGGAAUUUCCUGUGUAGCGGUGAAAUGCGUAGAUAUAGGAAGGAACACCAGUGGCGAAGGCGACUACCUGGACUGAUACUGACACUGAGGUGCGAAAGCGUGGGGAGCAAACAGGAUUAGAUACCCGUGUAGUCC